AUUGAACGCUGGCGGCAGGCCUAACACAUGCAAGUCGAGCGGAUGACGGGAGCUCGCUCCUUGAUUCAGCGGCGGACGGGUGAGUAAUGCCUAGGAAUCUGCCUGGUAGUGGGGGACAACGUUUCGAAAGGAACGCUAAUACCGCAUACGUCCUACGGGAGAAAGCAGGGGACCUUCGGGCCUUGCGCUAUCAGAUGAGCCUAGGUCGGAUUAGCUAGUUGGUGGGGUAAUGGCUCACCAAGGCGACGAUCCGUAACUGGUCUGAGAGGAUGAUCAGGCACACUGGAACUGAGACACGGUCCAGACUCCUACGGGAGGCAGCAGUGGGGAAUAUUGGACAAUGGGCGAAAGCCUGAUCCAGCCAUGCCGCGUGUGUGAAGAAGGUCUUCGGAUUGUAAAGCACUUUAAGUUGGGAGGAAGGGCAGUAAGUUAAUACCUUGCUGUUGUGACGUUACCGACAGAAUAAGCACCGGCUAACUCUGUGCCAGCAGCCGCCGUAA
rnacentral:rRNA from 1 species